CCUUCGAUAGCUCAGCUGGUAGAGCGGAGGACUGUAGGCCCUGAUGUCCCUAGCCAUCCUUAGGUCGCUGGUUCGAUUCCGGCUCGAAGGA
rnacentral:tRNA from 1 species